GACGAACGCUGGCGGCGUGCUUAACACAUGCAAGUCGAACGGAAAGGCCCUGCUUUUGUGGGGUGCUCGAGUGGCGAACGGGUGAGUAACACGUGAGUAACCUGCCCUUGACUUUGGGAUAACUUCAGGAAACUGGGGCUAAUACCGGAUAGGAGCUCCUGCUGCAUGGUGGGGGUUGGAUAGUUUCGGCGGUUGGUGAUGGACUCGCGGCUUAUCAGCUUGUUGGUGGGGUAGUGGCUUACCAAGGCUUUGACGGGUAGCCGGCCUGAGAGGGUGACCGGCCACAUUGGGACUGAGAUACGGCCCAGAGUCCUACGGGAGGCAGCAGUGGGGAAUAUUGCACAAUGGGCGGAAGCCUGAUGCGGCAACGCCGCGUGCGGGAUGACGGCCUUUGGGUUGUAAACCGCUUUCGCCUGUGACGAAGCGGGGGUGACGGUAAUGGGUAAAGAAGCACCGGCUAACUACGUG
rnacentral:rRNA from 1 species